UUUGCGGCCGGAAGUGGAGCGGAACAUUUUCAACAAACGCUAUGAUUGGACGAUGUAGCGUUUUCUUUGUGUUCUAUUGGUUAUCGUCAAGAGCCACAAUUUGAUUGAUUUCUCGCAUCUCGCAAAGAUCAAUUAGGCCAAUCUGGAUUAUGUACACAAUAGAACAAACACGCAACGCGUGACUCAUCUGCUUCAUGGAAAACACUUUUGUUUUUGCAUAGAAAUAUUCUAUUUAUUCUCAUGAACGAUAAACAAUAUCGAUAACGUAAUGUAACAUUUUUUUAUACGAACUCUGUUACACAGGAGUAGCCAUUUGUAUAAUUUCCAAUAUCUCGGUUUUUUUAACUCACCGCUAAUUACGACACAUUUUAGAAGCAUUCCCCAAUAGGUAUAUACCUCAUGGAUUGAGGCUAAGGCGUAAUUAACGUGAAUUUUUUGUUAUUUAAACGACUCUGCUGGGUUUGAAUUCCCUUGGAUUUAGAACCAGGCCUACAUAUACAGGGGCGGCAGAAGGGGAGUGGCAGGGGGGCGCCAGCCCCCCACUCUUGGAAGUCGCCCCCCACCCCACCACUUUUCUGUGCGGAUUUUUUUUUAUAUAUAUGAACGUUUUUUAAACCAACAACGGGUUUCACGCGGUACAUAUGGCAACCGAGGACAAAUUUGUUGAACAGUUUAAAAUCUGAAACCACAAACCAUCCCUCCACCUGAAACCAAUACCCACCCCUCCCCCCUAACUUUCGCCCCCCCUACUUAUGGGACCGCUCCGCCGCCCCUGGUAUAAGAACGAGUCAGCGGCUACACGUAGGCUAAGUUAAUUCGAACUCCCCCAACUCCUUCUCUUCUUUUCCAUUGACCAUAUUCUGCCCACUCCACAAAAAUAAAGUUGAUCGUUUUGGUGAGUUGCAUAUGGAUUAUAGUGUUCUUUGCAGCAUAGUGUGGGGUGUGUUUACCCAUGUUAUUCUUGUGGAAUUGCUGUUGUCUAAUUUCUUUCUCUGAUUUUUUCUCUUUUCAUUGCAGAAACGCCCAGACACAAUGCUUAAUGCGUUUUCUUAGAAAGGGUCCUAAAGGGAUAGAACUGGGGUUUGGAUUUGCCUUUAUUUUAGCCCGGGAAACGGGAUCUGCGUCUACCCCCCCCCCCCCCCCCCCCCUUUUGGCUGGUUGCUCUAAAAAUCUGCCUUCCCUGUGUAUCUGAGCAUAUUUCCUUAUCAUUGCAUUUUAUUUAAGUAGAAAGGGUCAUAGGUUAGCAAACCAUAUUGAUGGUUGCUAUGUAUAAUAUAAAGUUUCUUGUUCAUUGAAUUGUACUAUAAUGUAUGGUCUGUACCGUUUUUACUCUAAUAAGCGCCCCGGCGCUUAUAGAAAAACUUUUUGACUGUCAGACGGAGCGAGGCGCUUAUUUGAGGGAGGCGCUUAUUUAAAAGGGCAAAUUUCGAACAAAAGGCCGAAUUGUUAAUAUCAAUUUUAUACUUCAUCAGUUUCUUUUCUCUAUAUCAACUUGAAGCAGCUUUUUACAAUUUUCAUCCAUUGAAUACUCUCUUUCUUGUCCUUUCUAGGAGCUCCAGUGCUUUCUUAGAACUACAUUAUGAUAGUCAUUUUACUCAGUUACAUAAAACCUGGGAAAGAGAGGGGGCGCUUAUUCGAGUAAAAGCGGUAUUCUCAAUCAAUCUCGUUCCCACAGCUCUCCUCCGCUCCUCAAUGGCUCCUCCGCUGUAUCAGCAUGACCGAGGAGCUCUGGGAAUGAGCGCGAUCGAUAUGCAUCAUGGGAUUCACCUUUUUGAUUGCCAUUUUGAUUUCGGUUGCCUCUCAGUUCCUUCAGAUUUACUCGCAUAUUAUCCAGUUCUACAUAAAGGAAAUGAAGUAGAAGCAAACUUUCAAUCUUACAGGAAAAGAUUUUACAAAGCUGCAAGGAAAGAAAGGAAAUGGAACAACAUUUCAUUCAGCCCAGCUGGAGUGGCGUACUCCAAUGUUGGCCUCACUAGGGCGAGGAAAGCGCUGUUUCACUGCCUUAGAGCAGCAAGCAAGGUUCCUCUAGAGGACUGCAAGUACCCAGCUGGCCUUCUUUUUCACCUCAGUGCAUUGUUUUUGUCAAUUCAGGGAAUGUGAUAUGUACUGUACACACCAAGAUAUGUUUAGUAUUGCACUGCAUCAUAAAAUCAAAACAGCAUCAUAAAAUUUAAAGUUAUCAUGAGUUGUAUAAGCAUUUCAUAUUGAACUACAGUAUGAUGUGUUCGAUUUUUAAAUGCACCUUAUAUUUCUAUACCUUUCUAUAUUUUUUUAAAAAUCUUUAAGGAUCUUGAAGGAUCAUCUACAAUACUGAUAAUUACAUAUUAAAUACAAUACUCAUAUUUAUAUAUAACAUAUUUAAAUAGAUGGAUGAGAUUAAAUGUGAUAAGACAUAUAUUAUAGCAUUACAACCCUGUAUUGAAAGAGCCUUUAUCUCUCUCUUGUCACAUGCAGAAUUGUUUAUGCAAGGGGCUAAGUGUUUUACAGAUUGCUCAGAACGAAUUUUUUUGAGUGCCGGCACAUGGAUGUGAACUUGUUUCUUUAGAUGAGCUUUCCUGUAACACUUGCCAAUUCAACGCAGACUUAUAACACACAGACUGCUGUCCUCUGUGCUUUCACGGGAUAGCGGCUACAAUGAACUGGCCUCUCCAGAGCCCAAGCUUGGGCUAAUAUGUAUGGAUACGUUGCACUGCCCAGACAAGGGCUGAACGGUGCCAAGUUACUAUUUAACAAAUUCUGUCCUAUCACUAACAAUGAAGGCUGAGUCUUAAGGUGUGUUAUGUCUGCUUUGUAGGUGUAUUUAAACACUUUUUGAGUUCAAGAGUUAAAUGAGGGCAUCUUGGUCCCCCCACCAAGCCCCGGGGUGUCACCCUGGCCAGGGGCUCAUUGUGGCCAAGUAUCAUCCAACAGUAUGGUUUUCUAUCCAUGGUUUAAAUGGUUAUCUAAUCCUUGAGGCACUUGAGAGUAAUUACUGUA